CCUACGGGAGGCAGCAGUGAGGAAUAUUGGUCAAUGGGCGGGAGCCUGAACCAGCCAAGCCGCGUGAGGGAAGAAGGUACAGCGUAUCGUAAACCUCUUUUGUCAGGGAACAAAGGCGGGGACUAGUCCCCGGAUGAGGGUACCUGAAGAAAAAGCAUCGGCUAACUCCGUGCCAGCAGCCGCGGUAAUACGGAGGAUGCGAGCGUUAUCCGGAUUUAUUGGGUUUAAGGGGUGCGCAGGCGGCCUGUUAAGUCAGCGGUAAAAGCCCGGGGCUCAACCCCGGCGAGCCGUUGAAACUGGCGGGCUUGAGUUGGAGAGAAGUACGCGGAAUGCGCGGUGUAGCGGUGAAAUGCUUAGAUAUCGCGCAGAACCCCGAUUGCGAAGGCAGCGUACCGGCUCCACACUGACGCUGAGGCACGAAAGCGUGGGUAUCGAACAGGAUUAGAUACCCCAGUAGUC
rnacentral:rRNA from 1 species